AGCUCCAAUAGCGUAUAUUAAAGUUGUUGCAGUUAAAAAGCUCGUAGUUGGAUUUCUGGUGGAGGUGAUCGGUCGGCCUCGCAAGGGGUCUGCACCUGUAUCGUCCUUUGCCAUCCUUCAGGAAGGCGCUUCUUGUAUUAACUUACGGGUUGCGAACUCCUGAUCUUUUACUGUGAAAAAAUUAGAGUGUUCAAAGCAGGCUUAGGCCGUUGAAUACAUUAGCAUGGAAUAAUGAGAUAGGGCCUUGGUGGUUUAGGUUGUCAUGGCCUAUUUUGUUGGUUUGUACACCAAGGUAAUGAUUAAUAGGGAUAGUUGGGGGUAUUCGUAUUCAAUUGUCAGAGGUGAAAUUCUUGGAUUUAUGGAAGACGAACUACUGCGAAAGCAUUUACCAAGGAUGUUUUCAUUA
rnacentral:rRNA from 1 species